rnacentral:misc_RNA from 1 species
UCCGAAGACGACUGUGAGCCACCCCUUACACGGACGCCGGCGAGCGUGACUUAUCACACCGUAGUCUGCGCGAUGGGGACGGCUAAUGCAUUUCGAGACGAGCCGUCUUCGAGAGACGGCAGCGUCCAAAUCGACCCCCGGCACAGUAAAGGCCACGGGUCGAGAGACUUCACGACACUCAAACAGGCAUGCUCCUCGGA